CUUGCUCCUCAGUGACUAGGACACCAGCACUCUACUCCUCUGGGAUUUAACCAAUGCAGCUGUGGCAGCUGAAGCAGCAACAGAGGGUCAGGAAGGGACAGCAGCUAAUGAAGAGAGAGAUAUGGGAGAGGAGGAGGAGGAAGAGGAGGAAGAGGACAGCUGCCAACAUGAUGCUGUGGGAGAGCCGGCUCGGGCAGAAGUAGAAGUGUUACAAAGUGCUCCACAAGGAAGAAGUAACAGCGGGGAAGUAGAUUAAAUACAAUUUUUGUCCAUUCAGGGGAGAGGUG